AAACCUACAUCCACACAGAAACGUACAC
rnacentral:piRNA from 1 species